rnacentral:miRNA from 1 species
CAUAAAUGGGACACUUACUCAAAA